rnacentral:rRNA from 1 species
CCUACGGGAGGCAGCAGUGGGGAAUAUUGGGCAAUGGGCGCAAGCCUGAACCAGCAACGCCGCGUGAAGGAAGAAGGCCCUCGGGUUGUAAACCUCUUUUAACAGGGACGAAGAAAGUGACGGUACCUGUUGAAUAAGCCACGGCUACCUACGUGCCAGCAGCCGCGGUAAUACGUAGGUGGCAAGCGUUAUCCGGAUUUACGGGGUGUAAAGGGCGUGUAGGGGGGAGAGCAAGGCAGACGUGAAAUCCCAGGGCUCAACCCUGGACCGGCGUUUGAAACUGUUCUUCUUGAGUGAUGGAGAGGGAGGCGGAAUGCGGGGUGUAGCGGUGAAAUGCGUAGAUAUACGGAGGAACACCAGUGGCGAAGGCGGCCUGCUGGACAUUAACUGACGCUGAGGCGCGAAAGCGUGGGGAGCGAACAGGAUUAGAUACCCGUGUAGUC